rnacentral:rRNA from 1 species
CAAUAGCGUAUAUUAAUGUUGUUGCAGUUAAAAAGCUCGUAGUUGGAUUUCUGGUGGGAGCGGCCGGUCCGCCGUAAGGUGUGUACUUGGUUGUCUCCUGUCAUCCUUGUGGGAACUGCUCUGGCAUUAAGUUGUCGGGGUUAGGGAACACAUCGUUUACUGUGAAAAAAUUAGAGUGUUUAAAGCAGGCUUAUGCCGUUGAAUACAUUAGCAUGGAAUAAUAAGAUAGGACUUUGGCGUCUAUUUUGUUGGUUUGCACACCAAGGUAAUGAUUAAUAGGGAUAGUUGGGGGUAUUCGUAUUUAAUUGUCAGAGGUGAAAUUCUUGGAUUUAUGAAAGACGAACUUCCGCGAAAGCAUUUACCAAAGAUGUUUUCAUUAA